UGAUGUUCUGGAUAUUCCUGACCUUGGGAUGGUCAGUAAUAAUGAGAAGGCAAAAGAUAUCCUUAAGGAUAUCAUCUAUUCAUUUUGUGACAAAUUUGAUCAUUGGGGGUAUAAUUAUAAGAAUAAUUUUGCCAGUUUGAAGCAGGGUGUAAGUAUAGCACUAAAAGGUGUGUAUAUGAUACAAACCUACUUUUUAUUGAGUGGCUCAAACUCUGAUACUUGGAUAUUAGAUACCACCUAU
rnacentral:lncRNA from 1 species